UACGUAGGGUGCAAGCGUUGUCCGGAAUUAUUGGGCGUAAAGAGCUCGUAGGCGGUCUGUCACGUCGGCUGUGAAAACCCGAGGCUCAACCUCGGGCCUGCAGUCGAUACGGGCAGACUAGAGUGCGGUAGGGGAGAAUGGAACUCCUGGUGUAGCGGUGGAAUGCGCAGAUAUCAGGAAGAACACCGAUGGCGAAGGCAGUUCUCUGGGCCGUAACAGACGCUGAGGAGCGAAAGCGUGGGGAGCGAACAGG
rnacentral:rRNA from 1 species